rnacentral:lncRNA from 1 species
AUGAAGGUUCGAAUGGCAGUGUAGAAUGAACAAGCAAGGACUUCUAUUUCAUUAAGCGUAUCAGGUGGGCUUACUAACUCAAGAGAUAAAGAUGCAUACUUUAUUAUAUAAAGUUUGAGUGUAUGCAUUUAUUUACAAAUUAUUGACUUGCCAAUCUUUGAGUUUUGUAUGAUACCAUCUACAUAGAAGAACGAAUUCGGGUCCUGAGCGAGUCAGGAUUUGUGUACACAGAGUUGACAGUUAACCUUUGUGUUAGCUUGUCAUCGUGUUUGAGAAGGAGGCCUACUUCUCAACACUCAGAGUUAUAUGAUGCGUAGAUAUGGUACAUACAUGUUAAUGUCUGCAGACGUAUAUGAUGUUAUAUAUGAUGAUUAUAGAGAAGUUUUACAGUUUUUGCGUGCACAGGUUAUUUAAGUAAAACUCUGUGUGAUGCUUGAAAUGGCAAGUUCAAUAUAUAGCUCUAAGAGCAAGCUUUUAAGUUAUUUCGGCAUGACCACUGAGUGCUUUUUGGUACUCAGCCCUGCGUAUGUUUUUAAAUAUGCAGGUUAAGCUGUGAUGCAGAUGGUAGCAAGCAGAGCAAAGCCUUCGGUGUAUAUAUGUAUAAUUUAGGCUCGGGAUUUCAUGUCCUCAUACAUGUAAUACACUUGAGUUAUUUCCGCUGCAACACUUAAUGUACUUACUUUAUUGAGUGUUGUAGAGAUUUUAAACCAAUAGCUUCGAGAAUUAUAUCAUUAGACAACUUGUGUUGUGUUAUUGUAGGUUGUCUACUCGUGAGUUUUAAAAGUGAUUGUUUAUGAUUACCAUACAUUAUGGUAAAGUAUUGCUUAAGUAAAAUAAUUAUUUUUAUUGAAACCUUUUUAUUUUUCAUUUUCUUUCUCCCUUCCCCAAUCACACAUUUUCCCCGACUUAACUGUUGUUAGUUUAGGUCGGGCUGUGACAGAGCAAGAUUUGAAUUCUUGACCUUUGGAAGAAAGGAUGAGGGCUUAUACACUCCACCAACUUAUAACUUAUGAUUAUUUAGAACAAAAAAAAAAGUUUUAUAGAGACUUGUAUUUUUAUAUUAAACAAAAAAAGAACACAUCUAAUAAAUGAAUUCCCAACCUAGGCAACAAUUAACGACAAUUACAGUAAACAAACUAACACACAUUACAACCAAAAUCCACAAUAAUAAGUCAAUUACUUUCAAUCCAUAAAAAAGUCUAAUGAAAUUAAAACAUAAUCUAAAAUAUAAAGUAACACAAGUGGACCUUGUCCCUGAAGAUUUCCGAGCUCUUUUUGCCUUUGGUUCUUCAACUUCUUCACUUCUAGUUCACGUACUUCAACCUCUUCAAACAUAUCAUCGUCUUCAAUUCCAAGCCUAUUACUAACUUGUUGUGUGAUAGAUUGUAACAUCCGGCAUUUUCGCUACAGUAUAUAUAUUAUUAUUAAUAUUAUUUUCUAUUUUCUAUUAUCUAAAAGAAGAAAGAGAAGUAGAAUCACUGAGAUGAGAUGAGAUAUUAUUAUAAUGUCCUGGGCUUUUAAUUCAGUAAUUGCAUAAUUUGAAUAGUUAAGUAUUCUUGCAUCCUUUAUUAUUUUCAUACUUGGAAGCAAGUUUAUAAUUCCUAGUUCAAUGGAUUAUUUUAUUAUUUUCAUAGAUGAGAAUAGUGAUAAAUACGAAAUAUUAUUAGUCGAUUUAUUGCUUGACUAAUUGAAGUGACGGAUGUUAUUUAAUUAUUUAUCUAUGAGCUUUCUUAUUUUAAUAGUGAUGAUUUAUUAUUAAACCAUGAAUUUGAGAUUUGGAUUUGAAUUCUUACUAGUUUGAGUAAAUUUAGUAUAUAUAUUAAGAAUUGUAUUAUAUUUUAUGGAGUGUAUAAUAAUUUAUUAAUUUAGAUAGCUAUCAAAUACUACUUGAGCUUGGAGCACAAGUUUCGUGAGUCAUGUUAGUGUAGAGAAUUGCUUUUUAUUUUUAUUUGAUUUAAUUUUAGGGGCCAUAAAAUAAGGCUUAUAGGAAAAGCCAAGUUUUCCUCUUAUUCUUUUUUCUCCUACAAGCCCCAAAUGGGCCGAUCAAUGAGGGAACCAAAAUUGGUUUCAAGUUAAAUUCUCAUCUCAACAAAUGAGUUUUAAAUUGUUAAUUUCAACUCCCAAGUAAGAGGCUAUAUAUAUAUAAUUCUUUACAUUUAAAGGAAACUCAUUUCCUUCUUCUACCAUUAACUGUCGAGUUUUUCCCCCAAAAGCAGAAUCACCAUUUUCUUUCUUCAAGUUCAAUUCGGAGAGAAAUUUCAAAUAGUAGCUGCAAUACUUUGAUAAUAAAGGUUAAUUUCUUUGAUCCUCUGUUACCUCUAUGAUUUUAGCUUGAAGAAAAUUUAUUCUUUUAAUUCUAGGGUUUUCGAAAAUUUGGGAGUUUUAUGCUAGAGUUGAAGUAUGAUCUUAAUAUUGAGAUAUAUUAAGUUUUUGAAGGUCCUAAGCAUGGUUAUGGUGGCUAAUUGUGUUAAUUCUUACUUGAUUUCGAGUUUACUCAAAUUAGUAUGAACCCUAGGUUUGAGGUUGAGAGUUAUGAUUAGGUAAUUGAAUAAUUGGACUCAUAUAUGUGUUCUUGAGUUGGAAUUAAGUCAUAUAUGAGUAAAUUAUGAGUUUACACCACAUAGUUUGUGAGAGUGAUUUUGUUAGUUUAAGUGGAUUUGGGAAUUCUUGAUAUAAGAUAGCUACAUGUUUGGUGCUUGUGUAAUUGUACUCUGAGUUGUAAAAUGAGAUUAUAUGAGAAUAAUUGGAGGAUAUUAAGCAUGCUACUAUAUGUUGAUGUGUUAAACAUGAAUUAAGUUAAGCUAAAGCAUGCUAAUGUGUAUUAAGAUGAUGUAUUUGAGUUCCUAUAGCUUUUAUUUGAGAAAAAUAUGAGUGAUAUGUCAAUGAGCAUUGCUGUCAGUUUUCGGCUUGACAGGGCAGUAUGUUUCGAGGUGCUUCUGAUGGUGUUCUCAUAGUCUAAAUAACUUGAAAUUUUUACUGUAAUAACUUCAUCAUGUGUAGUCGUUCUCUGCAAAAUUUCAGCUAAAUCCGAGACCAUUAGAUAUGCUAACUUAUUUUCUGAGAUGUACUGCGCGAAGCAGCGAAGUUCAGUGGCAGAUUUUGCCUUUUGUGAUAUAACUUCUCAUACACUUAAUGUAUUAUAUUUUUGGAACUUUCUAAUAAAAAUAGACUUUGAGAGAUUUCUAAAAAUGUAAAGCUUGUAUUUUUCUUUAAAGAGGUUGAUUUUAUAUGAUAUUUCAAAGUUGAGAUUCAUUUAUGAAGACAUGUUUGAGAUUUCUUACUUGGGAUAGUUGAGUACAAUUGUGCUUAAGUCAUUGGUCAAUUCUUGAAUUGAUGUUUUAGUUUUUAAUUGCAAGAGAUAUCCCAAGAGAUAUGAUGUUAUUGUUUGUUUUUAGUUAGUUAAGUCCAUAUAAGUAGAAUACCCACAUUAGAGGAUGCAACUUUCAAGUGAUAGAAGUUUCAUUCAAGAUUUACUUUCUAUUUACUUACUUAUUAUCCAAUCUUACUUGGGAACCUCAUUAUAAUGAAGGUUCGAGUGGCUAUAAAGUGAACAAGCAAGGACUUUUACUUCAUUAAGUAUAUCAGGUGGGCUUACUAACUCAAGAAGUAAAGAUGCAUACUUUAUUAUAUAGAGUUUGAGUGUAUGCAUUUAUUUUCAAAUUAUUGACUUGCCAAUAUUUGAGAUUUGUAUGAUACCAUCUACAUAGAAGAACGAAUUCGGGUCCUGAGCGAGUCAGGAUUUGCAUACACAGAGUUGACAAUUAACCUUUGUGUUAGCUUGUCAUCGUGUUUGAGAAGGAGGCCUACUUCUCAACACUCAGAGUUAUAUGAUGCGUAGAUAUGGUACAUACAUGUUAAUAGUCUGCAGACGUAUAUGAUGUUAUGAUGAUUAUAGAGAAGUUUUACAGUUUUGCAUACACAGGUUAUUUAAAUAAAACUCAUGUGUGAUGUUUGAGAUGGCAAGUUCAAUAUAUAGCUCUAAGAGCAAGCUUUAAAGUUAUUUCGGCAUGACCACUGAGUGCUUUUUGGUACUCAGCCCUGCAUAUGUUUCUAAAUAUGCAGGUUAAGCUGUGAUGCAGAUGGAAGCAAGCCGAGCAAAGCCUU